rnacentral:rRNA from 1 species
GCAUCGAUGAAGAACGCAGCCAGCUGCGAUACGUAGUGUGAAUUGCAGAAUUCAGUGAAUCAUCGAAUCUUUGAACGCAAAUGGCGCUCUUGGCUAUACCGGGAGCAUGUCUGUCUGAGUGUUGGUUA